rnacentral:ncRNA from 1 species
UCGGGCCCACGGACGGUCGCCCGGCCUCUCCCCAAGGCGCCUCGCCCAAGCGCUGU